rnacentral:rRNA from 1 species
UAAGGAAUAUUGGUCAAUGGACGCAAGUCUGAACCAGUCAUGCCGCGUGAAGGAUGAAGGUCCUCUGGAUUGUAAACUUCUUUUAUCUGGGACGAAAACGGGAUUUUUAUCUCAAUUGACGGUACCAGAGGAAUAAGCACCGGCUAACUCUGUGCCAGCAGCCGCGGUAAUACGGAGGGUGCGAGCGUUAUCCGGAUUUACUGGGUUUAAAGGGUGCGUAGGUGGGCUUAUAAGUCAGUGGUGAAAUCUCCGAGCUUAACUUGGAAACUGCCGUUGAUACUAUAGGUCUUGAAUUAUCUGGAGGUAAGCGGAAUAUGUCAUGUAGCGGUGAAAUGCUUAGAUAUGACAUAGAACACCAAUUGCGAAGGCAGCUUACUACAUAUAAAUUGACGCUGAGGCACGAAAGCGUGGGGAUCAAACA